AUGUGCCACUCGUACACUGGCGGCUCCUCCGCGUCGUCGGCACCCACCUGACGACUGCCCGCUAUGUCGUGUUAGCC
rnacentral:sRNA from 1 species